UACGUAGGGUGCAAGCGUUAUCCGGAAUUAUUGGGCGUAAAGAGCUCGUAGGCGGUUUGUCGCGUCUGCCGUGAAAACUGGAGGCUCAACCUCCAGCCUGCGGUGGGUACGGGCAAACUAGAGUGCGGUAGGGGAGAGUGGAAUUCCUGGUGUAGCGGUGAAAUGCGCAGAUAUCAGGAAGAACACCCGUGGCGAAGGCGGCUCUCUGGGACGGUACUGACGCUGAGACGCGAAAGCGUGGGGAGCGAACAGG
rnacentral:rRNA from 1 species